rnacentral:rRNA from 1 species
AUACAGAGGGUGCGAGCGUUAAUCGGAUUUACUGGGCGUAAAGCGCGCGUAGGUGGUUAAUUAAGUCAAAUGUGAAAUCCCCGAGCUUAACUUGGGAAUUGCAUUCGAUACUGGUUAGCUAGAGUAUGGGAGAGGAUGGUAGAAUUCCAGGUGUAGCGGUGAAAUGCGUAGAGAUAUGGAGGAAUACCGAUGGCGAAGGCAGCCAUCUGGCCUAAUACUGACACUGAGGUGCGAAAGCAUGGGGAGCAAACAGGAUUAGAUACCCUGGUAGUCCAUGCCGUAAACGAUGUCUACUAGCCGUUGGGGGAUUUGAUCCUUUAGUGGCGCAGCUAACGCGAUAAGUAGACCGCCUGGGGAGUACGGUCGCAAGACUAAAACUCAAAUGAAUUGACGGGG